rnacentral:rRNA from 1 species
GACGAACGCUGGCGGCGUGCUUAACACAUGCAAGUCGAACGGAAAGGCCCUGCUUUUGUGGGGUGCUCGAGUGGCGAACGGGUGAGUAACACGUGAGUAACCUGCCCUUGACUUUGGGAUAACUUCAGGAAACUGGGGCUAAUACCGGAUAGGAGCUCCUGCUGCAUGGUGGGGGUUGGAAAGUUUCGGCGGUUGGGGAUGGACUCGCGGCUUAUCAGCUUGUUGGUGGGGUAGUGGCUUACCAAGGCUUUGACGGGUAGCCGGCCUGAGAGGGUGACCGGCCACAUGGGGACUGAGAUACGGCCCAGACUCCUACUGGAGGCAGCAGUGGGGAAUAUUGCACAAUGGGCGGAAGCCUGAUGCAGCAACGCCGCGUUCGGGAUGACGGCCUGCGGGUUGUAAACCGCUUUCGCCUGUGACGAAGCGGGAGUGACGGUAAUGGGUAAAGAAGCACCGGCUAACUACGUG